rnacentral:lncRNA from 1 species
CAUAACCACCAGAGCCAUAUUCAGAAUCCUGUUUCCUGCCAUGUCCAGAUCCAUAAUCCUCACCAGAUGGCCUCUCAUACUCGGUUCCUCCGCCAUAUCCACCAGACCCAUAUUCUGAAUCAGGUCUCCGACCAUAACCCGAUGGCUUCUCAUACUCACUUACACCACCAUACCCACCAGAUCCAGGCUGGAAUCCAGGAGCAGCGUGAGGCCUAGAAUACGGAUCCCCACCAAUACCACCACCAGGAAUGAAACCAGGUCGGGGCUUGGGUCGGGAAUAGCUGUUGUAUUCCUCUUGGAGAAUGUCAUCAUUGUAGGCAGAUGGUUCAGCAUAUGAGGUGAAGUUGGGGCGGUCGUAAUCGACAUCAUCAUCGGCGAUUGCGCUGUUCUGGUAACAGGUUUCAUCGGAUGGUGGGAGGGGUCGCCCGUACGUUAAGGCCAAGUCGUAUCCACCACCGUAUG